rnacentral:rRNA from 1 species
UACGGGGGGGGCAAGCGUUGUUCGGAAUUACUGGGCGUAAAGGGCUCGUAGGCGGCCAACUAAGUCAGACGUGAAAUCCCUCGGCUUAACCGGGGAACUGCCUCUGAUACUGGAUGGCUUGAGUUUGGGAGAGGGAUGCGGAAUUCCAGGUGUAGCGGUGAAAUGCGUAGAUAUCUGGAGGAACACCGGUGGCGAAGGCGGCAUCCUGGACCAACACUGACGCUGAGGAGCGAAAGCCAGGGGAGCAAACGGG